UCGAUCCUGACUAGUCUCCCAGUCCCUGCCGCUGAAAAACAUCCCGACAGCAAGAUAUCUAGAUAUCUAAAUGAGAGAGCCCCAUAGGAGAACCUUUUUUGGUUCCAGGUAGAACCAUUUUGUGUUCCAUGAAGAACCCAAAAGGGUUCUACCUGAAACCAAAACGGGUAAUCCUAUGGGGGAGAGAUGGAGGGCCUGGUUCGGCUUUCAAGUUCUGUGUGUGUCCAGUCCUCUCAUAAUUGUCCCCUGUGCCUGGGAUGGUGGGAUUUUUUCAGGACAUGCACCACUUGUGGUGUUUGGACCUGGGCCAUGCCUCCCCUCAUAUCCUCCCGUCUCUCCCUCCUGCCUCCUUUUCAUUGUUUUGGGAGUGCAGUGUUGACUCAGGAAAGGGACAGCAAGAAUGGCCUCUCCUCUCUCCCUGCUCUCAUCCCCUGUUCUCCCCCUCCUUUCCGUCCCCCCAUUCUCCCCCAUUGUGGUCUGUUCAGUGUUGAUUGAGGCCAGUACAGUCAGGGCCAGGCUGAAUGGCUGGGUGAGAAUUGCUGCUGUGCUAUGUGAAUGAGGUCUGUCUGUAUUGUGUGGAGGCCAGCCCACUGGCUGGGGUUCCCCAUGCUAGGCCUGGAGCUGCUUGAGUCUGGGUCCGUACAGGCCAGGGGAUCUGGGCCAGACCAAGGGAUCUGAGCAAGACCAGGGGAUCUGGGUCAGGCCAGGGGAUCUGGGUCAGGCCAGGGGAUCUGGGUCAGACUAGGGGAUCUGUGCCAGACCAGGGGAUCUGCGCAAGACCAGGGGAUCUGGGUCAGGCCAGGGGAUCUGGGCCAGGCCAGGGGAUCUGGGCCAGGCCAGGGGAUCUGGGCCAGGACAGAGGUUCUGUACAGGACAGGGGAUCUGGACCAGGCCAGGGGAUCUGUACAGGACAGGGGAUCUGAGCCAGGACGGGAUCUGGGCCAGGACGGGAUCUGGGCCAGUACAGGGGAUCUGUACAGGACAGGGGAUCUCUACAGGACAGGGGAUCUGGACCAGGCCAGGGGAUAUGGGCAAGGCCAGAGGAUCUGGGCCAGGACAGGGCACCUGGGCCAGGACAGAGAGGGAGGACAGGCCACUGUGUUCUCCUCUGUCAUAGAAAACAACAACUAUAUCACAACAUGACCUACGUUCAUUUGUGCUCUACUCAUUCAUUCAUUCAUUCAUUCAUUCAUUCAUUCAUUCAUUUAUUCAGUAAACCUGUUCCGUUAUACAAAGGACCACAACGAGACCACAUGUUGGUUAGUCACUUACUUCACAGCUGGCCUGUAGCUGACGUGGUCUGUAGACCAUAGAUUACUACCACAUUGUGCCCCAGACCUACAUACUUGACAUGUGCCAGCCAUUAGAGGUCAGGCGGCUGGCAUCUGUCUCAGUGCCUGGCAUAGAGUGGUAUGGCCAGGGGUAGAGGAGCAGGCUGGAAGCUGGCGAAGUUUCCCAGUGCCCCCCUCUUUUCCCAUGGCCCUGGUUUUACUAGGGUUUUAUACCAAUGUAAUUACAGAGUAGAGACAGUACUGUAACAAUGUAACUACAGCCCAGCUCUUUCUCUCUCUCAAACACUCCCUCACUCCCAAACUUAGAUCAGCCCACGAGCCAGAGGAAACAAACCUCAAACACUGUGCGUGUGUGUGUGUGUGUGCGUGUGUGUGUGUGUCUGCCAGGGGUUGGGAGCAGUAGCAGGUGUUUGCUCGCUGAAACACGCGGGCAAAGCAGCUGGACUGUGCCACAGCUGUGUGUGUGUGUGUGUGAGUGUGUGUGUGUGUGUGUGUGUGUGUGUGUGUGUGUGUAUAUAUGUGUGUGUAGCACCUGGACACAGCUGGACUGUAUGGCAGGCAGUAGCUAAUAGAAUAACUGUGUUUCUGGCCAGACGUGAGCUCCUACACUCAGCCUGUUCAACAAGUUAUAGUAUUCAUUUCACUAGCUCUCCCUCUCUCCCACACACACACAGUUCCAUUGCCAAAGUGCUUUCUUUUUAUUCUCUAUAUUGAUUUUUGGGAUCUCUUUACUCCUUGUUCUUUCAGGUCUUCUUUUAGUUCUGGGUGUGUCAUUUCAGAGUCAUUUGAAGGGGUGAGGUAUGGUGUUGUGGUGGUGUGUCAUUUCAGAGUCAUUUGAAGGGGUGAGGUAUGGUGUUUUGGUGAUGUGUCAUUUGAAGGGGUGAGGUAUGAUGUUGUGGUGAUGUGUCAUUUGAAGGGGUGAGGUAUGGUGUUGUGGUGAUGUGUCAUUUGAAGGGGUGAGGUAUGGUGUUUUGGUGAUGUGUCAUUUGAAGGGGUGAGGUAUGAUGUUGUGGUGAUGUGUCAUUUGAAGGGGUGAGGUAUGGUGUUGUGGUGAUGUGUCAUUUGAAGGGGUGAGGUAUUGUGUUUUGGUGAUGUGUCAUUUGAAGGGGUGAGGUAUGGUGUUUUGGUGAUGGGUCAUUUCAGAGUCAUUUGAAGGGGUGAGGUAUGGUGUUUUGGUGAUGUGUCAUUUGAAGGGGUGAGGUAUGGUGUUUUGGUGAUGUGUCAUUUGAAGGGGUGAGGUAUGGUGUUUUGGUGAUGUGUCAUUUGAAGGGGUGAGGUAUGGUGUUGUGGUGAUGUGUCAUUUGAGUCAUUUGAAGGGGGGAGGUAUGGUGUUUUGGUGAUGUGUCAUUUGAAAGGGUGAGGCAUGGUGUUUUGGUGAUGUGUCAUUUGAAGGGGUGAGGCAUGGUGUUUUGGUGAUGUGUCAUUUGAAGGGGUGAGGUAUGGUGUUUUGGUGAUGUGUCAUUUGAAGGGGUGAGGUAUGGUGUUUUGGUGAUGUGUCAUUUGAAGGGGUGAGGUAUGGUGUUUUGGUGAUGUGUCAUUUGAGUCAUUUGAAGUGGGGAGGUAUGGUGUUUUGGUGAUGUGUCAUUUGAAGGGGUGAGGUAUGGUGUUUUGGUGAUGUGUCAUUUGAAGGGGUGAGGCAUGGUGUUUUGGUGAUGUGUCAUUUGAAGGGGUGAGGUAUGGUGUUUUGGUGAUGUGUCAUUUGAGUCAUUUGAAGUGGGGAGGUAUGGUGUUUUGGUGAUGUGUCAUUUGAAGGGGUGAGGUAUGGUGUUUUGGUGAUGUGUCAUUUGAAGGGGUGAGGCAUGGUGUUUUGGUGAUGUGUCAUUUGAAGGGGUGAGGUAUGGUGUUUUGGUGAUGUGUCAUUUCAGAGUCAUUUGAAGGGGUGAGGUAUGGUGUUGUGUUGAUGUGUCAUUUCAGAGUCAUUUGAAGGGGUGAGGUAUGGUGUUUUGGUGAUGUGUCAUUUGAAGGGGUGAGGUAUGAUGUUGUGGUGAUGUGUCAUUUCAGAGUCAUUUGAAGGGGUGAGGUAUGGUGUUGUGGUGAUGUGAUGUGUCAUUUCAGAGUCAUUUGAAUGGUGAGGUAUGGUGUUGUGGUGAUGUGAUGUGUCAUUUCAUAGUCAUUUGAAGGGGUGAGGCAUGGUGUUUUGGUGAUGUGUCAUUUGAAGGGGUGAGGUAUGGUGUUGUGGUGAUGUGUCAUUUGAAGGGGUGAGGCAUGGUGUUUUGUUGAUGUGUCAUUUGAAGGGGUGAGGUAUGGUGUUGUGGUGAUGUGUCAUUUCAGAGUCAUUUGAAGGGGUGAGGUAUGGUGUUGUGGUGAUGUGUCAUUUCAGAGUAAUUUGAAGGGGUGAGGUAUGGUGUUUUGGUGAUGUGUCAUUUGAAGGGGUGAGGUAUGGUGUUGUGGUGAUGUGUCAUUUCAGAGUCAUUUGAAGGGGUGAGGCAUGGUGUUUUGGUGAUGUGUCAUUUGAAGGGGUGAGGUAUGGUGCUUUGGUGAUGUGUCAUUUGAAGGGGUGAGGUAUGGUGUUUUGGUGAUGUGUCAUUUGAAGGGUGAGGUAUGGUGUUUUGGUGAUGUGUCAUUUGAAGGGGUGAGGUAUGGUGUUUUGGUGAUGUGUCAUUUGAAGGGGUGAGGUAUGGUGUUUUGGUGAUGUGUCAUUUGAAGGGGUGAGGUAUGGUGUUUUGGUGAUGUGUCAUUUGAAGGGGUGAGGUAUGGUGUUUUGGUGAUGUGUCAUUUGAAGGGGUGAGGUAUGGUGUUGUGGUGAUGUGUCAUUUCAGAGUCAUUUGAAGGGGUGAGGCAUGGUGUUUUGGUGAUGUGUCAUUUGAAGGGGUGAGGUAUGGUGUUUUGGUGUAUGGCAAUUACAGUAGCAAUGUGUCUGCUUGUGAAAGGGGUCUGCUCUGCUUUGCUCUAGUCCUGCUUACCUCCCCACCUUUCCCUCUCUCCUCCUCUCCCUUUCUCACCCCUCUCCCCCCAUUCUGCUGAUAGUCCUAAUGAGGUGAGGAGAGCAGGGUUCUGUAGCACCUCUCAGUUUAGGAUGCCAUACCAGGACAACUGGUCAUACCAGCAGCAAGGGAGAGAGCUCAGCCAAAAUAGACACUCACACCUGGCUAUAUACAGUAUGCCCUAUACACAGCUAACCAAUCAAGGACUAGGUUACUGUACCCCUUAACACACCCAGCUAACCAACCAGGGAUUAGGUUACUGCAGUGUACCCCUAACUGUACGGGCCAUAGCCAACCAAUCAGGGAAUGGCCAAAUAGGUUUGUUGCGAGGGCAGGAUGGCUAUUGUCUGACAUAGCAGAUCUGAGCUGCCGGAGUGAAGAAGAUAGAUAUCCUCCUUAAAUUACAACCCCUCAAGUCCUCACCACCAUAAAUUACACCUCACCCCCUCUCAGCCUCUCUUUCCUCCUCUAUGUACCCCUCACCCCAUCCAAGCCUCUCUGUCCUCCUCACCCCC